AGCCUGUAAAUCUGGAAAGCAAAUUUCAGAGAUGAAGUCGGUAUGUGUCUCUAAGUGGAAUUAUGGCAAUAAAUAUUUAGAUUCUUCUAUUUUAUUGCCCAGUUGGAAAGUUCCUGAUGGUAGUGGUAUACCUUGUCCCCCCACAGAGUUUGGUGGUUGUGGUGAUAGUCUCCUUGACUUAAGUUGUGUUUUCCCCUCAAGUUGGACCAAAGAACUGGAAAUAAGUGCGG
rnacentral:misc_RNA from 1 species